AACGAACGCUGGCGGCAUGCCUAACACAUGCAAGUCGAACGAGACCUUCGGGUCUAGUGGCGCACGGGUGCGUAACGCGUGGGAACCUGCCCUUAGGUUCGGAAUAACUCCCCGAAAGGGGUGCUAAUACCGGAUAAGGUCUUAGGACCAAAGAUUUAUUGCCUUUGGAUGGGCCCGCGUUGGAUUAGCUAGUUGGUAGGGUAAAAGCCUACCAAGGCGACGAUCCAUAGCUGGUCUGAGAGGAUGAUCAGCCACACUGGGACUGAGACACGGCCCAGACUCCUACGGGAGGCAGCAGUGGGGAAUAUUGGACAAUGGGCGAAAGCCUGAUCCAGCAAUGCCGCGUGAGUGAUGAAGGCCUUAGGGUUGUAAAGCUCUUUUACCCGGGAUGAUAAUGACAGUACCGGGAGAAUAAGCACCGGCUAACUACGUG
rnacentral:rRNA from 1 species